UGCUUGGGAUUCUCUCUCUCCCUCUCUCUCUGCCCCUGCCCUGCUAGCAUUCUCUCUCUCUCUCUCUUUCUUUCGCUCUCAAAAUAAAUAAACUUUAAAAAAAUUAAAAGAAAAAGAAAACCCCAGGGGUUCUGGAGAGAGGCCAUCAACUCCAAAGCCAAGCAGCCAUGCAAACAAACAAGGUACAGGCGCCACUUGGUCAGAAACUUUAGCGUGGGGGCAGAGGGGAGGGGGGGGCGAGCAACCUCCCCCUUGGGAAGAGGUGGGGUCUGCGGAGAUGCGGGUAGCCAGCGGAUUCCUCCUAGCUCCUCCCGACUGGUGUCAAGCCGGCACAAAGAGCCGACUCAAGAGAAGCCAAAAAUCAGGACUCUUAGGCGAAGCGUCUCAAUGUUUAAAUGCUGGCAAGUGAUUCAAAGUUAAGGACGACCAAAUUCCUCUGCCAGCUGAGUCGGGCUCACGGGCCCCCAGCCGUGUCCUGGGGUUCGGGGCCCCCACCCUCUGCUGCCAGGGGCACAGGUCUUCCUUGUAGUCUUGGGAGGAGAGCAGGGGAGAAGUCCCAGCCGAGGACAGGAGCCCCCUCCUCCCGGACCCUGACAUCUGGUGGAAGGAAGGGCUGAGAUUCCCAUUCUGAAGGAAAAGACAGAGUGGCAGGAAUGACCCAGAGAACCCCAGAAACAGGGAGCACGGAUUUCCACCAAGGUCAAAGUGCAGGUGCGAGGGACCCCCUGGGGUGGGGAAUUUCCGCCCCAAGGUGUCCCUGGCCUGCAGGAGCCUGCUGUGGGCGGUGAGGGAGGGCCACCUCUCAAUCCCCACAGCAGACAACGGUCUCCCCACACCCUCUCUCCAGGCUGCCGCUCAAGGCGUGUCCAGAGGGGAGUCUCCUUCCGGGGCUUCAAUGACCGACGGCCACACGCAUCUCCCGUCGAAUCGUGGAAACGGGGGGCUGGACUGCAAAGCUUCACGUGUUCCUUAUUUCAUGUUCUGGCUACUCCUAUGUCCAAAGAUAACAGCGAUCGCGAGGCAUUUUGUCUUGCUUAAUAAUGUGGUCCGUGAAAAUUUCAAACAAAUCUAAUGACAAAUUAACUGUGACAUUAGACUGGGCCUUAAGGAUCACGGAACCAGGAGGGGAGGGGGGGGCAUGGUGGUACCCAGAAGUGGACACAAGUGUCUUCUAGGGUGUCCUGUUGGCGUGUAGAGGCAAGGGGUCCCACACGUGGCCCCAUCACAACCACUGAAAGGGAGCUGUCUGGGCUGGGGGAGACAGGAGGGGCGGGUAAGGGCUCAUCCCUGUUGUUGCUCUUACCACUCGGUGAGGACACAGGUCCUUGGACAGACUGGUUGGGGACCCCAGGGUGCCUGUCCCCCGCCUGUACCAACUCUGGUUUGGGGACAGGCUGGCUCCCAGCUUUCCGGGGGGGGGGGGGGGGUGCAUUUCCCCAAUGCUCACAGAGCCCUGCGCCUCCUGGUGGGCGACUGGAGAACUGCACCCUGCCGGCCUCCCUCCCCCCCAACCACCGCCCCAGGAGGCAGCUGUUAACACCCCCCUCCACCCCUGGGGGGACGGGCGGGGGGGGGGAAUCAGUGGACAGCCCUCACUCGGACACCCCACCAGGGGCCUUGCAUGCAUUCACUCCCAGGUCGUCAUCCCAGCAACCCCGCCAGCUGGGUUAACACGGGUCUCAUUUUUGCAAGAAGAAAACCCGAGGGUCACAGAAAGCAAGAAUCCGAAUCAGAGCUGGGCUGACCACAGAGCUCAAGGCCUCCACCCAGAGCCGUUCAUUCGGCGGACCCCUUGCUCGGCCAUUUCCCAUGCAAACAUCUGCUGAGUGGCUACCCUGCUAGAUGCUUCCAGCCCUUUGCACACACGCAUUUGUAAUUACACUUCUCAUGACUGCUUAAUUAGCAUCUCUUUUCUUGCCAGACAGUCCGCCCCACGAGGGGAGGGAGACCCUUUCCCCGCUGUUGCCCUAUUGCCUGGCAAGCACAGCCCCCGACAGGAGCUCAGGAAGGGUCUCUUGGUGCAAUGACUCAAGGGCCAGAGACGGACAGAAUGCUCUCUGUCCUCAACGGUCUUAUAGCCUCACGAGGAAGGCAGACAAGUGAGAAAGUAAUGGCACCACUUUGGGAUAAAUAGACCACUGGGCUUAAACAUGGGUGCUGGGACUGCAGGAAGAGCGAGGGACUGGGGGAGGAAUCAGAGAGAGAGAGAUUUAGGUAAUGAGAGGGUUAGGGUUUGGCAGACAGGGGGUGGGAGGUACAGAGAGUUGUAGGUGGGGGGAAGGCCCGAGGUCUCAGGAUGCGCCCCACAGUUGGGGAGGCAGGGAGCAGUCAAAACUGAGGCCGGAGGGGCACCCUGCAGGCACGGCAGCCCGGAAAGUGCCCUGAAGCACAGUGACCUGACUGGGCUACUCGCGGGGUGUACACACUGGCCGCGGCAGAGGGGGCGCACUGGAGGGAGAACACCCACCAGGUGAGGCUCCCCAGGGACCAGCCCUCCUCCCAAGGCCUCUCGGGCACCGCCAGAGCUCCACGGAUCGUCUUCCUCCCAGCAGACACGGGGCGCGGGGUGGGGGGGGGGGGCGUCCUAAGGAACCAUCCCCUGCUAAGAGCUAGUAACUCGUUCUGACUGCUUUACACCUAUCGCCUCACUCAGUUGUCACGGCAACCCUGGAAGGCGGGUGCUAUUAUUAUCCCCAUGCUACAGAGCAGGAAACAAAGGCACAGAGAGGUUAGGUAAGUUAUGCAAGAUCACACAGCUUGUGUGUAACUGACGGUGCCGUCACGGUCUGAAGUCAGACGGUCUGGCUUUCCACGUUAGUCGCACCGCCUUCUACGCUCCUAUCCAAGGCAGGGGCUCGGGCAGGAAGGGGUGCUCAACAUGGAGGACCGGGGGUCUGCCUCUCCAUGAAUACUGUUUGCGAGAAGUUCUGGGAGCCACCUCCCCCCACCCUCGCUCCUCCUGAAAUCACCAUCCUCGACCUGCAGCAUCUUUAUGCUGACACCAACCCCGUUUUCUCCAACCCUCAGAUAAAUGGAGGAAGCCGUUCCCCUCCCUGCUGAGCACAGGUUCGACCGGCGCCCGGGCCCCGAUGCGGGGAGUCCCUGAGCGCAUCCCCCGCGGCCCCCAGUCCCGGCCCCAUGCGGAGGCUGCGCUGGAGGGCAGAGGCCACGGUCCCUCACCCACCCAUCUGGGCAGCUGGCUCUGACUGUGCUUCUGGAGGGAGGCUGAUCUGGGAGGGCGUGGAAGGGGGAAAGUCAGAGCCGAGGUCUGUGGGAGCAGAGAAGAAGUGACCCGGAGGGCUCACCUCCCGCCCUCGGGCUCCCACCCAGGGUUCCAGGGUGCCCGCCAGGUCACAUCAGGAAGCGGAGGCUGAGGACCACAGGAGUCCCCAGAACCUUCCUUCCAAGACGGGAGUGUGGUGGUGUAAUUGUCAUCUUCUCUGGAAUCGUCUAGAUUCUGACACAUCGUGUUUGUGCCGAGGGCUGCGAGCUGCCCUUAGUGCCUGUCAUUCCUCAUCAAGCAAUCCGGUCCACAGCUGGCCCUGCCCAAGGCGUGCUCCGGGCCACCAGCGGGAGGGGGAGGCUGGAAUCUCAGAAUCGAGCUCAAUCCUGGCUCCGUAGCCCCCACGAAGACGCAGACCCGGACCAGGACCUGGACGCACGACCCUUUGCUCCCCAGCAAGCAUCCGGGUUCUCCAGCAAAAACUGGCAGACUCCGGCUGGGGUCCCAGACCAACCAGGUCGUAGGUCCAGGAAUCCUUUGAGGAACCCGCGUUUUAAGUAAGCUCCCCGGAGGCUGUGGCGGCCGACUGCACUUUGCAGGCUAGCUCGGAGAGGCACCGAUGUAGGUCAGUGGAAGGAGGAGGGAGGACACGGGCUGGGAGGGCCGGUGAACAAGGUGUGCUGGAGAGGAGACCCUGGGGCGAGGCCCAGGGCGCUCAGGGGAUGCCCCACGCUCCGGCUCAAAGGCUCAAAGGCUCAAAGGCAAGGCACAGCAGGUGGGUGACGGGGGCCCCACCCUGGGGCCUGAGACUGUCUCCCCCUUCCAGGCAACUGCUUUCCGCUUUCCAUUUCUGCUUUGGAAUUUUCUCCCACAAUUCCCACAUACGCUCCCCGCCUUCUUCCUCUUUCCCCGUUUCAGGGAACUUUAGGGGCUUCUGCCUUGCUCUGGGGCACUUGAUGGCACCCUAAAGUGGCAGGAAGAUACCCUCAGGAGAUCUGCCCUGGACUCAGGCCCCGCUCUCAGGAGGUGACAGCACAGGUCUCGAAUCCCGAUGCUUCCCAGCCGGGAGAGGUAUAUGGCUGUGUGCCUCAGUUUCCUCAUCUGUAAACCGGGUCGAGAAGGCGACUGGACACAGAGCACUGACUACAAGCUCUGUUCUAAGUGCUUUCUGUGUACAGACUCAUUUAGUCUGCACACGAUCCCCGAGGCUCAGACACCCACCAUCUCCCCAUUGUACAGACGUGGACACUGAGACCCAAAGGGGCAGAGACACUUGUCCCGGGCUGCCGUGCAGCUCGCAGGUGCUGUAACGGACCCUCUGGCUUCAGACCCCUUGUUCACAACACUGGUUCUGUCCCCUCCCCCUCACACAGUGAGCGGAGAGCGAAAUGAGCCGCUCGGAACACUACUGGUGCAUAGUAAGUGCACACCAAAGGGGCAGCAACUGUUGCUACUGAUGUCGUUGUGCAUGCAAACCUCUCUUUCCUCCAAAGCAGGAUUUGCAGCCUCCACCAGCCAGGGAAGGCAUACCCACUGUCGGGGUCAUCUCCGUGGGGGUGGUCAGAACGGCUCAGAGCUGCCUGUGACAGACGGAGCCCAGGAGAGCAGGUCCCCAUUCCCGGCUCCGGGGCACCUGUGUCCAAACAGCAAACCCAGGACCACACUUCUCACGUCUCCGAGCCCUUGGCUGUCUGAGCAGCCAGACGAUGCAUCUGCCCCCAACAUGCGGCUGGUGUGUGUGUGUGUGUGUGUGUGUGUGUGUGUGUGUGUGUAGAGGGGUGCCCUCCUCAGCCUGCACGUGGGAGCUUGGUGGGCUUCUGCAAGAGCCCCAAGAGUCGGUCUGGCCACCCCAGGCAGGAGCCGCCUGCUCCCAUCAGGAACUCUAUUCUUAGGGUGCUUUCUCUUGUUUUUAACUUUGGUACCUCCUAAAAGUCACCCUGCGUGAAAGCAAGCCCCAGUGGGUGUAAUUUACAUGUCAUGUCACUUAGGCGGAGUAUGGCCCACUCCCCUUCCAACCACCCCCCCGCCCCGCCCGCCACGGCUUCUGCAUCGAUCCCACCACGCCUGCGCUCGGUCAUCAUCGGUCAUCCGGAGUGAAAUCAACAGAAGGGUCAGGGUGGAGGGCGGGGGUGGGGGAGGCAGGGGGGCAUUUCGGCUACAUCCAAGCUCUGGAACUCCCCAGUUUCCAGGCUGGGCUUCCGCUCAGCUCAGCGGUCCACAUUGCCAUGGCAACCACCCAGCAUGGCAGAAAGCCCCAGAGCUCGCCCAACCUGCCCAACCUGGGAGCAGCACCCAGCGGGGAGUCACUUACCGUGAUGGUGUUCUCCUUGUUCUGCUUUUUGCCUGGUGACGAGGAUCCCAGGUUCUGGGGAGAGAGGCAAGAAACAUCAUCAAAGCUGUUCUCCAUCCUGGACGUUUGCGCUUUCUGUUCGGGCUCCCCGAAGGCAGGGGGGCGUUCCUGAUUCGGGCAGUUAACCCCUCAGCUGCCCUCUGCUGGCAGACCGGUCCGCCUGCUGCCCGAACCCGCAGAAGCCACCCGAGAACAGAGAGUUAAAGCAGGCCACCACCUCCAUGACAUCUUAUUCUGAAUCCCCAGGGUCCGACAUGUCCAAUCCUCAAGCCGCGGAACGUGCAUGGCUGGCGGGUGAAACUUAAGGACGUGGUUGUUGACACUUCCUAGAAAAGGCUCAGAGAGAGAGGUCCCUCCACGCAGCCUCAGGGAACCAGCAGCCCCCCAUCCCGGGCCAGCGAAGCCCGGACCACCGGCAAGGAUGAGCAUCGGUGGGGUGGCGGGGCGGGGGUAGGGGUCAGCUCUGCCUCAGGAUCUCAGCUGCUCACCACACAAAACAGGGAGCUUGACUUAGUCCCUGUUUGUGGUUCCCUCAUUCCUUUACUCCCGUCCAGAUCGACCCGGGCUGGUAAGGGAAGUCCGUUAAUGGAAGCGGAUGCCCUCUGACCGUCCAGCUAAAAGAACUCUAUAGAUCGGUCAUGUCCCGGGCGAGGAAAUAAACUCAGUAGUCUGGACACCCUGCCAAGCCACGGGCCUCCUCUGAGCCUCGAUUUCACCGGUUGCUAUCGACGGUCCACAAGCUUUGGAGGACAUCAGAAUUAACAGGCAUUGGCCCCAAAUUGGAUCCCGGCCGCACCCCCCGGAGCUGAGCCGGCAGCAAUUAGGUGGGCCAGCGCCUCUGAAGCAGAGUCUGGGGGCCUCCCCUGGGGACACACUGAUCUACGUGGUGUCAUUCAUCCAGGCUCCCUCACUAUGGCAGCCGCACAGGCUCAAGCGUGUGACCAGCCACAGCUUCCCCAGACAUUUCCAGAGCAACGAUGCACGACCUUCCCCCGAAUCGUCUCCAGCCAUCAGUGGUCGCCCAGGGCAUGUGCCCAAAUUGGGAGGAAGACCGAGGCCACGUGGCUGGAGCUCGAGUGCCACUAUCCUGGGGCAGGUGCGGGGGUCUCUCGCAGGUUCAUCCACGCAGAGGCACUGGCCAAACAAACCCAUGCCGGGGAGGGGAAAGGGGAAGGGGACACCCCAGCAUGGAUUCUCCCCACCAUCGACACACAACUGCCACCACACUCCGAGCUCUCACCCACCAGGAUGUCAGCUAAUGCACUAGCAACCAGUCUCCGUAUCGAUGCUGACGACGGGGACGAGGGGGGAAACUCAGAAGGAGGGAGACACCAGCCUAGGCAUCAGACAUACUCAAACCUGCGUAAUCCUCCCAGACCCCGCGAAUUCAGAGGCACCACCUCCGUUGCACAGAUGGGGAUACUGAGGCUUGCAGAAACGAACUCAUUUGUCUAGGGUCACAAGGCAAGUGACACUGGAGCCUACGGCUGAGUCUCGCUUUUCUCGAUAUUCUGCCGGCUCCCCACUUUGAGACCAGGGACAAUCUCUUGUUUUCCAGGUGGCUCCACAGGGGUCAAGAAAGAUCAUCAUCCACAGUCACUGACCUGGGGACCACCGUGUCCAAGGCUCUGUGGAAUGGAGCCGGACACAGAGGUGGCCCUCCUCCCUGUAACUGGGACCAGGACAGGAGUGCAAGUAAUGGCAUUGACAAUGGGGGGGAGGGGUCCUCUGCCCCCCCUCCCCCGCCCUCUCUGCCCUCCUGGAUACUCAGUCUCAGCCAGGGCUGAGCAGGGUGACGCCAAGCCCUUCCAGGCAGCUCAGGCUCUGUCCUUGCUGCCAGUGGUCUGUGCCUACUGUCCCAACAUCACCUACAUACACAUGCAUCAUAUACACGCACUAUAUACACAUACGUGUCCACACAUCCACACAUCACACACAUCCACACACACACACCUGUAGCACUUCACAAAAGGGCCCGGAAGGAAUUACACCUCCAUCACAGGGAGAACACCUACUAGCCAGAAGCUGGCUUCUAAAUACUAUUCCAUACUAAAAGGAAACGAGUCCCUUGGAGAAAUGGCUCAUUCCAGAUGCCAGACACAUCUGGCACAUUCAGUCGUUCUGGGAGGGAAGAAACAGGGCAAAGAACAAUGUGGUCUCACCAAAGGACCCAGGUGCCAGCAGAGAGAGGGUCCAACAAGCCAAAUUUGGGACAGUUUGGGCAUGAUUGUGAAUAACGACCGAAAACGAGUAACUUAAAAGGCAGCAAAGGGGGCGGGGGGUGUAUGCGGUAUUUCUUUAUGGAAGAAUGCCCCUAAAAAUGGUUAAGGAAUCAGAAAAUUACCAUUUGCAAACCCCAAAGCCAAAACGGAUCCAGGCCACGGUCACCAAGGAUGCUGAAGCACUGAGGAACAGUAUCGCCCUUACCGUCCCCCCACCCCCAGAUUACUGGCUAAUCAGAAAGGGAAAAUGCGCCCUUGCAAAGGGGCCAUCGCAUUCACCGGGAGCCCAAACUCAGCAUCGCUGGAGGGGUGCUAACCUGAGAAGCCCCAGGAGGUAGAAACCUUUGCCAAAACUGCUAACCCUGAAUCUAAGCAGAAGAAAGGAAGUAGAUAAUGCAUCAGGGUCACUCUGCAACUGACCUGGGCUCUUCCCACAAACAGCUACCGUGGGCCAAGAGAGAAAGAACAAAUGUGUGGGGAAAAUAGAGUCUAGAUUAAAAGGAGCUAAAGCCGUAGAUGAGAUAAAAUGGUGAGUCCACAGGAUGGGAUACUACGUGGCCCCGGGGAAAGGAACACAGUGUCACUCCAUUUGCAACAUUCGCAGACCUUGAAACAUUGUUGUGAGUGAAAGAAGCCAGACACAUGGAGGCCCUGCAUGGUGCCUUUUCACUUCUAUGAAAUGUCCAGAAGAAAAGGGGCUCACCUACAGAGAGACAGGCAGAAAGCAGAUUAGUGGGUGCCCAAGACUUUUGGGGAUUCUUUCCAGGGUGAUCAAAGGGCUCUCAAAUGGAUUGUUACUGAUGGUCGCGCAACACUGUACGUUGUAAAUGACUGGAUGAAUUACAUCUCCGGAGAGAGAGGAACAGAGUAAAAAGAUACAGCAACCAAUGUAUCCACCUGUAAAAGUGGAAUGGACUUUAGCCUUGGGAUGUUACCAGUGUCCAUAAUAAAAGUUUAUUUAUUUA